rnacentral:pre_miRNA from 1 species
UCUCAUGAAUGAACAAAGAAAGCGGUUUCUUGAGAUGGAAUCGACUCCUUGUGAAGAUGCUGUGAA